CAUGGUGACGAGACAUGCCAGGAAUUUAAGGCAUCGGGUGUGUUGCAUGCUCAAAAAAGCGGCAUCGUCAUUGAAGCCUGCUUGAUGAAACCAUAAUCUUUGUCAUAAUUGGAUUUAAAAUGCCAUGCUUUUAUUUGAACCUUGGGUUUUCAAACAAUGUUUUCCUUUGUAAACUUGGAUGAGACUUUAAAAUCCUAUUUUACAAAUGUAGAAGAAAUUUAUUCAGAAGUUGGCUCUAAAUGGGCGACCUUCCAUGCUGCGUGGUGUAGGUGUGAAUGGAAAGACAUGCAGGGCCUGGGAGUACUUGAUACAGGCUAGAAUCUGACCAGCUCCCACUGCGGUGGAGGCGGUGGUGGUGGGGAGAUGUUAGGCACAGGUGGUGGUUUUGAAAUCCGGGGUUUUCAGAUUUUUCUUUUUUUGGGAAAAGAAUAUUCAUAUACUGUCGUGUGUUUUUGUUUUUAGUUGGGUGGAAUUCGAUGACUUUAUCUACUCAGUCAUCAAAUACCUUGGCAUUUCAAAGACAUUUCCGUAACUUUUUAGUCUGCCUUUUGUUGCUUCUGUUUAAGAUGGUCUGUCCCUGAUUGUAUGGCCACAACCGUUGGGUUGAUUAAAAUGCAGCAACUCUUAAAAAUUCAUUAACUAAGGGUGAUUAUUAAUUGCAGCAGUCAGCAUGGCCUGGGUACUAUACCAUCAAGUUCCUUUGCUUACUGAAUUGCUCAAGAUUUAUGAGUGAUUAAAAAUAAGAUUUUACUUUUUAAAACUACUUGUUGGGGUUUCCUAAGGUGUUUCUUUUUUUUUCCUUCCUUAAAAAGGCCAAACUUCUGAGAGCCUAAAAGCAACGUAUCACCACGAUUCAGUGGCUUUUGUUCACUCCCUCACUGCCAUCUGUCACCUUCUCUUGCAGCUUAUGGAGCCCUUACCUACAGUAUCCCUGCUACCAGAACGUAAAGGUUCUUGAGGACAGGCGACGGAUUGCCACAGCUGGCUGACGUGAAGUAGAUUCCUGCCGCACAGAGCAAGUAUUUAUUUAUACUAACAUCCUCUAAAAUUGACCAUUGCAGAUUCAUGCUACAUUUUAACCUUUCUAAAGUUAUAGAAUUUAUAGGCUUCUAAUAGACUGCAUUUACACUUGACCGUCUUUCCAUCUUUUGCCUCCUGGUAAAUAUGUUGCCCUGUUUUCAAUUGUUCUAACACAUCUUGGAUGUCUUUUUCCUUAAAGGGAUUACUGUUGAUUGCUACCGCGUAAUUUGACCUAGUAUCUAAAAAGUUCAGCUGCUCAGUUUUAAAAAAGCUUUACUUUUCAAUGGAGGUGAUUGUGUGGGAGGAGACAUUUUUGGUAAUUUUUAAGUGAUGCAAAAAUCCAACAACAGUCCUCUUACUGAUAGGGUAAGUCAUAAACUAUCUCCAGACAGCUGGAAUUGCCUAGAUUCAUGUGUCACAUGCCUUUUUCUUUAGCCUCAGGCUCCAAUGACUAACUUUCUCUUAGAGUCUCUUUAAUUUGUGCUUCUUUGGGCUCCACAAAAUGAUAAAGGAGGCAACAGUCCCUUUUCUUGCUCUCUGGCUAGAAAGUGGUUUGAGGAGCCUGGAUACCCUAAAAGCAUCUUGUAAAGUAAAUGGCCUUGCAUCUAGAAGGGCUGGAUUUUUCCUAUCAAAAACAUUUCCGGAAAGUUACAAUCUGCUGUAAUCUUCUGUUUCGAGGACUACAACAGUUCAGGGUCUAGCAGUUUUAUGUGUAACACAUGCCCCCAGAUAAUCUUCCAACGUGAAAAGUUCCUUUUGACUUUUAGUAAAUGGAGAUACCUAAGUAGAAGUCAAAUUUUGGCUAAUAAAUCCCAAGCUCUUGGAAGGGCUAACAGGAAACAUUCUCUUCACACCUUCCUCUUUGACUUCCCAGUGAGAUCCCCUCCCAUUCUGCCUAAGGAACCGCAGAGAGGUGGCAAGUCUGGGAAAAGAAGCCAGGUUCAGCUUGGCCACUUCCAGCAAGAUUCGCUUAUAACUUGGACUAAGGAGUUUGUUCCAGACAUGAGAGCAAUUUAGUUUGUGAGAAUAUACAAGUCUAGCUCGCCAAAGUAGAGUAAUAUAGUUCAGAAAAAGUAACUUCGCAGAGAUGACUUCUGUUUUUGUUUUGCUUGCCUGCUUGAGGAGCGAGCCCUGCUCCCCCAGCUGUACACCUAGGAAUUAUCCUGAUCUUGACCUGAUCAAAAUGCCUUUUGUGAAUAGGUCACUAGAAGUGAAGCCCCGGUGAUGUAUUCCCAUAGUAAAUUUCUUCAGUUGUCAGUUUACUAUUUAAAAUAAAAUAAAAUGGAUGGGAUACAACCCUGAAUAUUUUUCUAGUCGAAUUUUUUUAUUAAUAAUUGGUGCUGUCAGGUCAUGCAUGCUGCAACUCAACAUUUCCCUUAUUUGGGUUUUGUUUUGUUUUUUUUUUUUUUUUUUUUUUUUUUUUUUUUGCAAAAAGGGCUACAGUUCACACUGCAGAGUAAGUAUUAAACUUUCUGGGUUUUUCUUUUCCCCCCACUGUGGCCCAAAAGAAUUAAAAUCUUUUUAUAUAGAGAGCAUAUUUACCAUUCCUCAAUAGUUAUAGAGUUUGGUACCUUUGUGCCUCAGGGAAGCCACGUGACGUAACUGGUUAUAGAAUUUCAGGGUUAGGGUUUAAAGAAAGGAGAAAGCCAUUGGAAAAAUGAUGGGCUCCAUUAAGGAGACUAAUGAAUCUGGAUGCAGAAGUAUGCCAGGACCUGGCAUAUGCAUGAUUGUAUUAGAAUUUAUUUCCAGUGUCAAUAGGGAAACCUUAAGUUAUUACAUAUACUGUAUUAGGAAAGUCGAGAACUCUUCUUCAUCAAGCUUCCAUGCUUUAUUUCAUUUUUGCUGACAUGAAACUUCAAACCCCUUUUGGGAGAGCUCAGUAUUGUUAUUUGGGCACUUUUGAAAGUUUAAAGGGAGUGUGUUUUCUCCUGAAUUUUCUCCUAGGUUGAAGAAUUGUUAGCUGCAGUUCUGUGAUUUUGAUCAACUUUUUAAAAGCUAUUCUGUGCUUUGUAUUUGUGUGAAAGGAGGUGCGAUUUCAGCAUUGUUCAUGCUGACUACGAUCUAGUGAGCUUCAGGCAGUUUUGCCUUGCAAGAGUGGAAUUUCUGAUAGGCAAACCACACAACCUUGAUUUUAAGCCAGAUCCAGCUCCGUUCCCUUGGCAGGUGAUCUUAUAGGCCCCUAGUUUAGCCUUCAUGGGCUGAGGGGAUGACGUUCCUCUUCCAGGGCUGAAAAUAGAACACAGCUCUGUUAUCAUUUCUUUAGGACCCCAAGGCCAAGGAGACAAUUCCAGGAUUUUUUUUUUUUAACAAUGUAAACAUUACAAAACUAGUAAAACAAAGAAGGUUCAGUAUUUCUUUUUAAGUAAAAUUUAUAUCCUCUCAAGUUUUCACCUUCAUGAAAAAGCCCUAGAGGAAGAUAGGAAAAAGCAAAUAUUUUUCCAGUCCUACUUAACCGUUUCUAAACAAAAGUAAACUUGAUGAAAGGGAAAUUAUUUCUUUUUAGGUGAGAUGACAGAUCAUUUCUCUGUAUUAAAUAAAUAGUCUAGAAGUUAAGGGGUGGUCCUAUUUACCAUGUAUAGUGUUACAAGCAGUUAAAUUUUAUGGAUAUAUUUGUAAAACUGUUCUUUUAUAUUUCAUGUCAAAUUGAAAAGUUUAUUUCUUCACUAUUGUAACCUGUGGAAAUACAAGCCAUUUUACAGGAAAAAUCUUCAAAAAUUAUUAAACGGAUCUCAUUAUGUUUGUGA